rnacentral:rRNA from 1 species
GAUGAACGCUGGCGGCGUGCCUAAUACAUGCAAGUCGAGCGAACAGACGAGGAGCUUGCUCCUUUGACGUUAGCGGCGGACGGGUGAGUAACACGUGGGUAACCUACCUAUAAGACUGGGAUAACUUCGGGAAACCGGAGCUAAUACCGGAUAAUAUUUCGAACCGCAUGGUUCGAUAGUGAAAGAUGGCUUUGCUAUCACUUAUAGAUGGACCUGCGCCGUAUUAGCUAGUUGGUAAGGUAACGGCUUACCAAGGCAACGAUACGUAGCCGACCUGAGAGGGUGAUCGGCCACACUGGAACUGAGACACGGUCCAGACUCCUACGGGAGGCAGCAGUAGGGAAUCUUCCGCAAUGGGCGAAAGCCUGACGGAGCAACGCCGCGUGAGUGAUGAAGGUCUUCGGAUCGUAAAACUCUGUUAUUAGGGAAGAACAAACGUGUAAGUAACUGUGCACGUCUUGACGGUACCUAAUCAGAAAGCCACGGCUAACUACGUGCCAGCAGCCGCGGUAAUACGUAGGUGGCAAGCGUUAUCCGGAAUUAUUGGGCGUAAAGCGCGCGUAGGCGGUUUUUUAAGUCUGAUGUGAAAGCCCACGGCUCAACCGUGGAGGGUCAUUGGAAACUGGAAAACUUGAGUGCAGAAGAGGAAAGUGGAAUUCCAUGUGUAGCGGUGAAAUGCGCAGAGAUAUGGAGGAACACCAGUGGCGAAGGCGACUUUCUGGUCUGUAACUGACUCUGAUGUGCGAAAGCGUGGGGAUCAAACAGGAUUAGAUACCCUGGUAGUCCACGCCGUAAACGAUGAGUGCCAAGUGUUAGGGGGUUUCCGCCCCUUAGUGCUGCAGCUAACGCAUUAAGCACUCCGCCUGGGGAGUACGACCGCAAGGUUGAAACUCAAAGGAACUGACGGGGACCCGCACAAGCGGUGGAGCAUGUGGUUUAAUUCGAAGCAACGCGAAGAACCUUACCAAAUCUUGACAUCCUUUGACCCUUCUAGAGAUAGAAGUUUCCCCUUCGGGGGACAAAGUGACAGGUGGUGCAUGGUUGUCGUCAGCUCGUGUCGUGAGAUGUUGGGUUAAGUCCCGCAACGAGCGCAACCCUUAAGCUUAGUUGCCAUCAUUAAGUUGGGCACUCUAAGUUGACUGCCGGUGACAAACCGGAGGAAGGUGGGGAUGACGUCAAAUCAUCAUGCCCCUUAUGAUUUGGGCUACACACGUGCUACAAUGGACAAUACAAAGGGCAGCGAAACCGCGAGGUCAAGCAAAUCCCAUAAAGUUGUUCUCAGUUCGGAUUGUAGUCUGCAACUCGACUACAUGAAGCUGGAAUCGCUAGUAAUCGUAGAUCGGCAUGCUACGGUGAAUACGUUCCCGGGUCU